GAAUGUGUGGGUGAUCUGGUUGCGACAUCUGUCACUCCAUUGGCCACCAGAGUUGAGUCUGCUGAUCUGGCUGGCUAGGAGGGUAUCCCCUUCCUCCCUCACUGAUCCAUGUACAUCCCUCCCCUAGCUGUGUGCUCAGAUAUAGGAUUGGUCUUCUGUCUAGGGUAUAUGAGUAGUGGUGCUCCCCUGCUAGAACCUCCAAACAAGCUAUCAAGGUCCAGUAGAGGAAAUGGGGACACAGAACUAUAGUACUGGAAUGGUGUAGAAUUAUACCCCUGUUA
ensembl:misc_RNA 7SK 7SK RNA